UGCCAACGCCGGGGAGCUCGAGACAGUCGGGCUGAGAGGACGUUCCACGACACCGCAGGGUGUCAGCGGACGUCGACCCGAGAACCUGAACUGGGUAAUGCCAGCGGAGGGAUGCGCCAUCGAGCGCGG
rnacentral:ncRNA from 1 species